UUUGUUUUAUUUGAUGUUCUCUUUCAUAACAAUAUAAUUUUGGAUAUGGAUUUCGAAGCUUGGUGUUAUUGGAGUAAUGUCAAACUAUCCAAUUUAAUAACUUGAGAAAAUUUCCGGUAUUGAUAUUUCACACAAAGUCCAUAUUAUAUUACAGUAAAGUGAUAAAUAUUAUGGUACAAACUCUUAAAAUAAUUUGAGAAGGGUGUUAUAUUAUGUCUAUUACAUAAUAUUUGAGUCCUAUUUGUUGAUCAAAUGUAACAUAUAAAAAAUAGUAUGAAAUUGACUCAAAAUUGAAGUGGAGAGAGAGGCUUGAUAUAGUAAAUAGAGGUUAAACAUCAACAAUAUGUAUGUUAUCCAUUGGUCUACCAUCUUCUCUCUAAAAUUGUGAACCAAUUUGUUAAUGUUGAAUCAAUCUGGUUGUUAGAAAUUCCUUACCGUUAUCUAAAUGGAUAACAAACAUGUCUAAAUUGGUUGGGAAUAUCUCCAGUCUUGCAUAAUAAUUGCAUGUCACUUUCUUUAGUUUCAGGGUAGUUUCACUUUAGGGAUGAGCAUCAGGAUGCUUGGCGAUCUAUAUGGUUUGUUGUUAUCUCGACUAGUGGGUGAUCUCGCAUCCAAAAGGUGUUUAAAUUGGUCCCUUUACAAGUUCUGAUUAUUUUUAAGGUAGUUAAAUUGAAUCUCCGGAGUUGGUCAAGUGCAAUGAAUGUCUGGUUCAAAUAUAUGUUUCAAUAUGGUUUAUUAAUCAGACAAUUUACUUGGGUAUUUACUAAAUUCAUAGACGUGGGAUGAAAUUAUUGUUUGACAGCUCCUAUGCAAAUUUUGUUGGUUGUUGUUUGUGUUGCUGGAGAUGGAUGUUGCUAGAGAUUGUUGUCAUGGUAUGUUGUUCGGUUCAGCUUAGAAUUUAAAAGCUGGUCACCUUUGAAGGUAACAACACAACUUAACAAUCAUUGACUAUAGUUUCAAGAGCAUCGCUAUACAUAGCGAAGGAAUGUAUCCCGAAAGCAUCCCGAAUGGAAAUUGGCC
rnacentral:lncRNA from 1 species